rnacentral:rRNA from 1 species
UACGUAGGGUGCAAGCGUUAAUCGGAAUUACUGGGCGUAAAGCGUGCGCAGGCGGUUCGGAAAGAGAGGUGUGAAAUCCCAGGGCUUAACCUUGGAACUGCACUUGUGACUGCAUCGCUGGAGUGCGGCAGAGGGGGAUGGAAUUCCGCGUGUAGCAGUGAAAUGCGUAGAUAUGCGGAGGAACACCGAUGGCGAAGGCAAUCCCCUGGGCCUGCACUGACGCUCAUGCACGAAAGCGUGGGGAGCAAACAGG